rnacentral:rRNA from 1 species
AACGUAGGGGGCGAGCGUUGCCCGGAUUCACUGGGCGUAAAGCGGGUCUAGGCGGUCCGUUAAGUCGGGUGUGAAAUCUCCAGGCUCAACCUGGAAACUGCACUCGAUACUGGCGGACUUGAGGGCGGUAGAGGUCGGUGGAAUGAGCGGUGUACCGGUGAAAUGGACAGAUAUCGCUCAGAACACCAGUGGCGAAGGCGGCCGACUGGGCCGUUCCUGACGCUGACACCCGAAAGCCAGGGGAGCGAACCGG